UUCUGGCCUAGAGUCCCGAGGCGGUGCAGCGGCUCUGUGGCUGGGUGCCUAUGACACUGGAUCCAGAAUCCAGAGUUGUUGCCCUGGGUGGGCUGCAGGCUCUGAGUCCAACAUGGCAAUAGAUGUUUGCCUGCAUGUGUCUGUGCACCACAAGCUUCUUGGAAUCCAAGAAGGCUAGAAGACGGUGCUAGAAAUUGAACCCAAGUCCUUUGGAAGAAAGCCAGUGCUAACUCCUGACCCUCUCUUCAGACACUAAUGCAUUUUAAAGUACUGUAGCUCGCCAUUUGGUGCACCCACUAGUUUGUGACCAGGGCAUAGGGGACCAGAAGCUGCUAUCAAGUGGUCAAGGGCCCACAAAGGCCUCCAAGAAGCUUGAGAGGAGGACACCCUGACCAAAAGCCUUGGAGGUCAGUGCAUGAACAGAUGCCACCCAGCAGAUGCUGGCCUGUGGGAGUCUAUGGGCAGCUUUUCAUUGGUUGGGAGAUUUUAUAAUUCAACUGAAGACUGUACAAUUCCUUAACUCUUAUGAUGGGGUGGGGCUGAUGAGGGUACUCACUCAUUUCAUCAUUAGAUGAGCACAAAUUCUCCCAGGAAAAAGUUAACCCCAGCCCUCUCUGGACCCAGGGAAGCUGUCCAGCAAACACAUAUCCUCUUUCCUGAUCUGGGAAUGGGCCUGAUGUGGGGCAGGGGCAGCCUAGGGACACCUAGUGGGAGAGUCCCUCCCUCAAGCCACAUCCUCUCUCCUGCCCUGCCUCAUGCAGUCCUCAGCCCAUGGCCACCUGCUGCUUGCUC